GUUAAAAAAAAUCUGUUGACGUAUCAUCCAACGUAAUUUAAAAGUUAAUUGGCAACAGGUGAAUACAAUUACAAUGGCUAAUCACAUACGUUUUGAAAUCUUAUUCUUAAUGUUUGACGCAAGUUGCAUUAAAAAGUAUAAAUAGGUUUCAGAAUUGUGUUGUUGUUUUAGAACGUUGCUUUCACGAUCAUUUAAGAACACUCAUAUGCAUGGACAACUGAUUUCAUCUUAUGAGGUGUGUUACCUUUAACCAUAUGGAUGAUGAUGUAUUUGUGCAAAUUAUGUGAUUGCUCUCUGAAGACAGUUAAGGGAUAUGUUAAUCAUCAAAUCGUACACAGAAAUGAAGCAAAUGCUCAGUUUCCAUGUUGCUUCCCAGAAUGCAAAUGUAAAUUCUCAAAAUACAAUGCUCUCAAAGCUCAUGUUUAUCGCCAUCACAAAAGACCACAUACUCAUUUUGAUGAUUCGACGGGCACGUUUGUUUGCAACAAUACAGACUGUCAACAACAAUUUACAGACAUGAACAAUGUCCUUUCUCAUCUCAGGUCACAUUUAGCCAAGGGAGAGGUGGUGUGUUGUCCUUUUGAAAAAUGUGACAAAAAAUUCAGUUUAAGAUCAAGUUUCACUGCCCAUGUUUCACGAAAGCCCAGGACUUCUACAUUUGCACAAUUACGGAUUAUGGAUACUUUAUCUGAGCAACCUUCUUCAGCAUUUUUUGAUGUUACUGAGGAUGAGGUUGAUGAAAGUGAAUUCACAGACUCCCUGACGAAAUGUAACGCAAAGUCAUUGUACAUGAAAAAUCUCUGCCUGUUUUAUAUGCAGCUACAAGCAAAAUACCUGGUGCCAUCGUCAACCAUUCAGAUGAUUGUGGAGGAAUUCAGUGGUUUAAAUUAUAUCUGUUAUCAGUACACACAGAAGAUGUUCAGGGAAAUACUCAAGUCAAAAACGGCCCUCUCACAAUGUGAUAUUGAAUCUGUGGUGCAGACUUUGCAAGGCCAAGAUUUACAUUCAGCUUGUAAUUCAUUACUUUCCACAGAAUACCAAAGAAGACAGUAUUAUCAGAAAAAAUUUUCGUACGUGCAUCCACAAAGUAUGUGUCUUGGUCGUGAUGAGAACCGAAACCAACGUUAUGCACAGUAUAUUCCAUUGAAGAACACUUUAAAAACCAUGUUAAUAGACCCAGUGGUGUGGGAGCAGUGUGCCAGACAUCAGCAUGUACACUCUUCUGUGUUCUCUGACAUCUGUGAUGGCUCUGUAUUCAAAUCCAAUGACUUGUUUAAGCAGCCUGAGAUUACAAUCCAAUUUAUCUUGUACCAGGAUGCCUUUGAGAUUGUGAAUCCCCUUGGGUCAGCUAAAAAAAGACACAAAAUGAUUGGAGUGUAUUUUACACUUGGCAACUUUGAGCCAUUUUACAGAUCAUGCAUUGAUAACAUUCAGUUAUCACUUUUGUGUUAUGAGAGAGACUUUAACUAUUUUGUUCAAACCAAGAUUUUUGCUAAGUUGUUGGCAGAUGUCAAAGAACUUGAAGAGCAUGGAUUUGUGACAUCUUCAGGUGACAUAGUACGUGCAACAAUAGUGGCUAUUAUCGGUGAUAAUUUGGGGUCCCACUGCAUCCGUGGGUACUCACAGAACUUCAGUACUGCCAAGCAUUGCUGUAGGUAUUGCUUGGUAUCUCGCAGUGAACUUCAGAAUGUGUGUGUAGACUUUCCCAAUCGCACAGUUGAGUCCUAUAAGGCGGCAGUGGAAACUCUAAGGACGACCGAAGAAAAUGUUGUUAAUGGGUUGAAGUUUGACUCCAUUUUCAACUCUCUCAAGUAUUUUCAUGUUGCUCAGCCUGGCCUUCCCCCAUGCCUUGGCCACGAUUUUUUUGAAGGCGUUGUAGUUAUUGAUCUUGGCAUUUUCUUGGAAUACUUUGUAAAAAGGAAGUGGUUUUCAUAUACACAGCUGAACAGGAGACUUGCACAAUUCAAAUAUCUGGAUUCUGAUGCUGGUUCUGCCCCCUCCCAGAUAUGUGAAAAAGGCAGAAAGUUAGGUGGUCAAGCAGCUGAAGACUGGUGUCUCCUCAGAUUUCUUCCUGUCAUAAUUGGAGACCGAGUAGAGUCACAAGACCCUGUAUGGCAACUGACUGUUAAGUUGAAAGAACUGGUUGAGCUAGUGUGUGCUCCCAAGAUUACCACAGCACAGAUUGCAUAUCUCAAUGUCUUAAUACCAGAAUAUCUGGAAUCAAGAAAGGACCUGUUUCCUGGUGAAAAUUUGAAACCAAAACAUCAUUACAUGCUUCACUAUACGUCACUCAUUUUAAGUCUUGGACCUUUAAUUCGUUUGUGGUCAUUGAGAUUUGAAAGCAAACAUUCCUACUUCAAAAGAAGUGUGAGAAGAACACAGAACUUCAAAAAUGUAUGCAAGUCAUUGUCACACAACCAUCAACUUCUUCAAGCAUAUCUUCACUCACGGUCCUUUUUUUCACCAAAGCUUAAAAGUGUUGACUUGGCCACAUACUCUCCUCAUUUGUACAGUGAUGCUGUGUGCAAAGCUGUUGAGACAAGCUUGCUUAAUGAACCAGACUUUGUUUCCACACGUGUAGAAUACAAGGGUACCCUGUACAGGAAAGGAAACUUAAUUUGCCUUAAAUGUGAAGAGGAGUAUUCUAUUUUACAGUUUGGACAGAUUGAGCUGAUUUUCGUGAAAGAUGAUGAGGUGACUUUCCUUGUGACUCCCCGCCCCUCAGUGUAUUUGCAUUAUUAUGGACUUUAUGAGAUUUUGUCUGCGACAAAGGAAUUAAUUUGUGUAAAAGCUGAGGAAUGUCUGGAUUAUUAUCCCUUAAAUGAGUACAGUUUUAUGGGACUGAAGGUCAUUACUCUGAAGCACAGCGUUGUUCAUCUGUAAAAAGGAUAAACCGUCCUCUCCCAACAGAAAUGGAUGCAUUGUUGACUUUUAUUGAGAAUGUGUUCCCAAACCCUAUAACUUCAAAGCUAGCCAUAGAGGGUUUGAACAGCCUAGGUGUGGAGACCAUAGAUGACCUACAGUUUUUGAAAGAUGAUGAUCUAGGUGGCUUUCUGAGACUGAUUGAAGCAAGAAAACUAAUAGCUCAAAUCCCAAAUAUUGCCUCCACUCUGCAAAACACUGCCAAUGAUUUGUCUGCUGAAUACAAUUCUAAUGCAUCAGGUUCACCUGCUCCUGGAUGCUCAGUUUCACCAUCCAGCUCUUCAAGUGGAAGACGUGACAGUAGCUGUGAAACUUCGUUUUAUGACCAUGACUGGCAUUAUAGUUUUGAUGUUCCAUGGCAAAAAAUGCCAGCAAGUUUCAUGGGAAAGUUGCAAAAUGGCGAAAGGCCAAGUUGCUCUUAGAGAAGACAGUUGGUCCGCAUUGUUGCUUCUGAGAUCCUGGAAGUCAGCAAAUGUCCAGCAAAAAAACAUGUAUCAGAAAUAGCCCGACAAAUGGUGAUUGCAUACCCAAAGUCUUUCAGAGAUGAGAUUAAUUCCCAGGUUGUAGGAAGUGGAUAUGAUUCUCUCCUCAAACAACUGGUGUGUAGAAUUGACAAUUUGAAAAGAGCAAAAGCUGUUAGUAUACUUUGUGGUACUCUAGAAGUAUCAACAAAGAAACGAAAAUUGUUAUACGGUUGUAUAAAUUCUGAUCCACAACUGCUAGUUGGAGAAACAUCCGAAUUGCAGCAGGAAAAGAAAGAGAAGUUGGUAGUAAUGUUUCAAAAUAAUGAAAGUGAUGUAAAGACAAUCUAUGACUUAAUGACCUCUACAUACACCCCUCAAAGAAACAGCAUCCAAUCUGGAAAGGAAACCAAAGAUUUACUUGAUGAGUGGCCAUAUCUUUUUCAGCCAGCAGGAAUGAAAGCACACUUUAAAGAGCUCACUGGCAUUGACAUAAACAACAGCUUUGAAGAAUCUGCUUCCAGUAAGUUCAGAAGAAUAUUGGACUACUUUCAAUUUCAGUGCACAGAAAGAGCAAGCAGAGCAGGGAGAAUCCUCACAAAGUAUAGAGCUGGAGGGGAUCAUGUUUGUGGGGCCGUGAUGUUGCUGCUAACCCAUUUCAAAAAUGACCAAGACCACUUUCUUGUGAUGGUAGAAGACACCUCUGUUCCAAGUGAUAUAUGCUCAGAACAGCUUCCAGCAACACCAUGUAUAGUAGUGUGUGGAGAGAACCCACUGACAGCCAGUGUGUACAUGGUAGCAGUAGACCAGAUGAUUGUAAAUGACCAUCUCUUGAGUUUUACAGAAGCCCUGUAUCUGAUGUUCUCUCUUUACUAUAUAUUGAACAUCAGUUACCCUGUAGAACUGGGAGCCACACUAGAAUUCUUGCAAAGGUGCAUCUUUAGGAUAAAUCCUCAUAAAGGUACCAAGGUGGAAAAGAGAGAGAAAAAGAGAGCGGACUCUGUCAACCCCAGAGUAUUGAGUCUGACAUCAAAAAUUGCUGCAUUUGAUUGGGGAGAGUAACAGAUGUGGUCUUUCAGAAGAUUGACAUUUCGCUGAAGAACAGGACAGACCGACUUUUUGUACUUCAGUGCAGCGCUUUGUUGCUUAAAUCAUUUUUAUUACCUUGUGACGUGAUUAGGAUUCAGUUUAUAUUUAUUUAUUUGAUUGGGACAGUGCAUGUUAAUGAACAAACAUGGAAUACAUGCAUGUAAACAUGCUGGAUUGUAGCCAAAGGCUAAUUUCCAUCCGUAGUCCCACGGCUAAAAUCACACUGGUCACAAAACAUUACAUAAUAAAAUUUACAUCUACAGUUAGUACAUCGUUUAUCAAUAAAUUAGCUAAACCCCCGUAUACAAUAUUCACAUAAUACUUAAAAAUUCAUUCAACUUCAAAAUUAUCAGAAUCCAGGCCCAGUGUUUUUGUUUCUUUUAAACUGAACACAUUUGUGUUCUGAAACAUGCUUUAUCCAUUUUCUCCAUGUGACAUGUUCAGGAUUAUCAGAAUUAAUGUCGAUUUAUUUUUUUUUUAAAUUGAACAAAUUUGUUUUCUAAAACAUGACUUUUGCUGGGAAGUGUUUUUCCAUUGUUUGAUCUUGAAGGUUUGCUAUAUAAUAAAAAGCUGAAGUUGUUUACA